rnacentral:rRNA from 1 species
GUUAGGAAUCUUCCACAAUGGGGGCAACCCUGAUGGAGCAACACCGCGUGCUGGAUGAAGGCCUUCGGGUCGUAAACAGCUUUUGUAUACGAAGAAUAUGACGGUAAUAUACGAAUAAGGGUCGGCUAACUACGUGCCAGCAGCCGCGGUCAUACGUAGGACCCAAGCGUUAUCCGGAGUGACUGGGCGUAAAGAGUUGCGUAGGCGGCUUAUUAAGCGAGUAGGUAAAUCUGGUGGCUCAACCAUCAACACAUUGCUCGAACUGAUAGGCUUGAGGAUGGUAGAGGUAGUUGGAAUUUCUUGUGUAGGAGUGAAAUCCGUAGAUAUAAGAAGGAACACCAAUGGCGUAGGCAGACUACUGGACCAGUUCUGACGCUGAGGCACGAAAGCGUGGGGAGCGAACCGGAUUAGAAACCCCAGUAGUCC